GUGGCAGGCUACCGUCUAGAACAGCUCCCAGCAACGCUGGAGUGUAACCGAUGGCUGAGUAUCAUCAUUAUUUUAUUCUGCACAUGGUUAAACACAUCUAUUUUAUAUUCUCUCAAAAGUAUUUUUCAUUUUCUCAAGAUGGCAUGGACCACCCCUGCAGGGGAUUCAAGGGAAGCAGAAGGAUCAAGAAAAUAAACACAUACUGUUUUCUACUUGUUGAGAUUUGAGAAGGAGAAUAACUCUCCUAGGAAAAAGGAGCCACAGGAAAAGGAAUCUCAUCCCUGAAAGGGAAACAAAGACUUUGCACGUGGGCUACUACUAAUGACCAUCAGUCAGUAAGGGAAGCAUCUUCCAACUUGAACAUCAGAGUUUCAAUAUGGGGACAAAAUGUCUGUGAAGGUUUGUGCCCCCAAUAUUAGAUAUAGAGAAUUGAUUAUGAAGACCUUGAUUAAAACUAACUGAUACUAUAUUUAUAAAAUUAAUGCCUAGUAUUAUCUAGUAAACAAAAAAAAUAUCCGUCUCAAAAUACUUAGGAUAUUAAAAGUGUGCCUAUAUUCUAGA